rnacentral:rRNA from 1 species
AUGGGCGAAAGCCUGAUCCAGCAAUGCCGCGUGAGUGAUGAAGGCCUUAGGGUUGUAAAGCUCUUUUACCCGGGAUGAUAAUGACAGUACCGGGAGAAUAAGCUCCGGCUAACUCCGUGCCAGCAGCCGCGGUCAUAAGCGUGUGAUUCGCCCGGUACACAGGNU